ensembl:scaRNA small Cajal body-specific RNA 3
GAUGAAAGCUGCAGAACCAACCAAGCAGACAGGUAGAAAAAGCCUUUUGUCUACAAAUGACACAAUCUUACAUAAACAUGAUGGUUGUCUGACUUAGGACAGCUGGCUAAGUCUGGUUGUUCCCCUCCAUGUAAC